UGGGAAUACUUAUGAAUAUAGAAAGAACUCUCAUACACAGAAUAAUUAUAGUAGAGAUUCUAUAUCUACUCAACAUAACAAUAGGUUUAGAAAUAGGAGAUUAUAUUCCGAUAAUCGGUCCCCAAUGAAUCAACUGAUUAGUAAGAAAGAUCAAAAAAUCCCAGUUAGACAUGGUAAUCACUCUACAGCUCAAUCUAGAUAUGAACAUAAUACUACCCAUCUUAGAAAAAGCCCCUCCCCUGCACUUCCAAUGACAUAGAACGAGAUUGUAGACCCCAAAAAUGUCUCCCAAUAGUGGACAUUUUUUAGAACAGAAUUGCAGACCGAAGGAAAAAAACGCAUAACGAGCUACUUUCCUGCAAAGAGAGACUAAUGGGAACAUUCCAGUCGGUUCUCUGCGCUACAAACAGAAACUCCUCCAUAGAGAAAAAGAUU